rnacentral:rRNA from 1 species
UGGGGAAUAUUGGACAAUGGGCGAAAGCCUGAUCCAGCCAUGCCGCGUGUGUGAAGAAGGUCUUCGGAUUGUAAAGCACUUUAAGUUGGGAGGAAGGGCAUUAACCUAAUACGUUAGUGUUUUGACGUUACCGACAGAAUAAGCACCGGCUAACUCUGUGCCAGCAGCCGCGGUAAUACAGAGGGUGCAAGCGUUAAUCGGAAUUACUGGGCGUAAAGCGCGCGUAGGUGGUUUGUUAAGUUGGAUGUGAAAUCCCCGGGCUCAACCUGGGAACUGCAUUCAAAACUGACUGACUUGAGUAUGGUAGAGGGUGGUGGAAUUUCCUGUGUAGCGGUGAAAUGCGUAGAUAUAGGAAGGAACACCAGUGGCGAAGGCGACCACCUGGACUAAUACUGACACUGAGGUGCGAAAGCGUGGGGAGCAAACA